GAUGAACGCUGGCGGUAUGCUUAACACAUGCAAGUCGAACGGUCUCUUCGGAGAUAGUGGCGGACGGGUGAGUAACGCGUGAGAAUCUAGCUUCAGGUCGGGCACAACCACUGGAAACGGUGGCUAAUACCGGAUGUGCCGAAAGGUGAAAGAUUUAUUGCCUGAAGAUGAGCUCGCGUCUGAUUAGCUAGUUGGUGUGGUAAGAGCGCACCAAGGCGACGAUCAGUAGCUGGUCUGAGAGGAUGAUCAGCCACACUGGUACUGAGACACGGCCCAGACUCCUACGGGAGGCAGCAGUGGGGAAUUUUCCGCAAUGGGCGAAAGCCUGACGGAGCAAUACCGCGUGAGGGAGGAAGGCUCUUGGGUUGUAAACCUCUUUUCUCAGGGAAUAAAAAAAUGAAGGUACCUGAGGAAUAAGCAUCGGCUAACUCCGUGCCAGCAGCCGCGGUAAUACGGAGGAUGCAAGCGUUAUCCGGAAUGAUUGGGCGUAAAGCGUCCGCAGGUGGCACUGUAAGUCUGCUGUUAAAGAGCAAGGCUCAACCUUGUAAAGGCAGUGGAAACUACAGAGCUAGAGUACGUUCGGGGCAGAGGGAAUUCCUGGUGUAGCGGUGAAAUGCGUAGAGAUCAGGAAGAACACCGGUGGCGAAAGCGCUCUGCUAGGCCGUAACUGACACUGAGGGACGAAAGCUAGGGGAGCGAAUGGGAUUAGAUACCCCAGUAGUCCUAGCCGUAAACGAUGGAUACUAGGCGUGGCUUGUAUCGACCCGAGCCGUGCCGGAGCCAACGCGUUAAGUAUCCCGCCUGGGGAGUACGCACGCAAGUGUGAAACUCACAGGAAUUGACGGGGGCCGCACAAGCGGUGGAGUAUGUGGUUUAAUUCGAUGCAACGCGAAGAACCUUACCAAGACUUGACAUGUCGCGAAUCUUCUUGAAAGGGAAGAGUGCCUUAGGGAGCGCGAACACAGGUGGUGCAUGGCUGUCGUCAGCUCGUGUCGUGAGAUGUUGGGUUAAGUCCCGCAACGAGCGCAACCCUCGUUUUUAGUUGCCAGCAUUAAGUUGGGCACUCUAGAGAGACUGCCGGUGACAAACCGGAGGAAGGUGGGGAUGACGUCAAGUCAGCAUGCCCCUUACGUCUUGGGCUACACACGUACUACAAUGCUACGGACAGAGGGCAGCAAGCUAGCGAUAGCAAGCAAAUCCCGUAAACCGUAGCUCAGUUCAGAUCGCAGGCUGCAACUCGCCUGCGUGAAGGAGGAAUCGCUAGUAAUUGCAGGUCAGGCUACUGCAGUGAAUUCGUUCCCGGGCCUUGUACACACCGCCCGUCACACCAUGGAAGCUGGCAACGCCCGAAGUCAUUACUCCAACUUUUAGGAGAGGAGGAUGCCUAAGGCAGUGCUGGUGACUGGGGUGAAGUCGUAACAAGGUAGCGUACCGGAAGGUGUGGCUGGAUCACCUC
rnacentral:rRNA from 5 species